rnacentral:rRNA from 1 species
GGUGAACGCUGGCGGCGUGCUUUAAGCAUGCAAGUCGAACGGUAACGCGGGGCAACCUGGCGACGAGUGGCGAACGGGUGAGUAAUGUAUCGGAACGUGCCCAGUUGUGGGGGAUAACUGCUCGAAAGAGCAGCUAAUACCGCAUACGACCUGAGGGUGAAAGCGGGGGAUCGCAAGACCUCGCGCAGUUGGAGCGGCCGAUAUCAGAUUAGGUAGUUGGUGGGGUAAAGGCUCACCAAGACUAUGACGGCUAGCCGGCCUGAGAGGGUGUACGGCCAGACUGGAACUUAGACACGGUCCAGACUCCUACGGGAGGCAGCAGUGGGGAAUAUUGCGCAAUGGGCGAAAGCCUGACGCAGCGACGCCGCGUGAAGGAUGAAGGUCUUCGGAUUGUAAACUUCUGUUAAGUGGGAAGAAAGACACGCUUCUAAUACAGGCGUGGGAUGACGGUACCAUUAGAGAAAGCACCGGCUAACUUCGUGCCAGCCGCCGCCGUAA